AGGACGAACGCUGGCGGCGUGCUUAACACAUGCAAGUCACGGGGGUCCCGCAAGGGAUAACCGGCGAACGGGUGCGUAACACGUGAACAACCUGCCCUCGUGUGGGGGAUAGCCGGGCUAACGCCCGGGUAAUACCGCAUACGUUCUCUUUGGGGAGUCCCGAGGAGAGGAAAGCUCCGGCGCACGGGGAGGGGUUCGCGGCCUAUCAGCUAGUUGGCGGGGUAAUGGCCCACCAAGGCGACGACGGGUAGCUGGUCUGAGAGGAUGGCCAGCCACAUUGGGACUGAGAGACGGCCCAGACUCCUACGGGAGGCAGCAGUGGGAAUCUUGCGCAAUGGUCUAACGACUGACGCAGCGACGCCGCGUGUGGGAGGACGCCUUUCGGGGUGUAACCACUGUUGCCCGGGACGACAGCCCUUUCGAGGGUCUGACGGUACCGGUGAGGAGCACCGGCUAACUCCGCGCCAGCGAGCCGC
rnacentral:rRNA from 1 species